CAUAACUCCCAACCCCUGUGAACAUACCUUAAUGUUGCCUCGGCGGAUCAGCCCGCGCCCCGUAAAACGGGACGGCCCGCCAGAGGACCCAAACUCUAAUGUUUCUUAUUGUAACUUCUGAGUAAAACAAACAAAUAAAUCAAAACUUUCAACAACGGAUCUCUUGGUUCUGGCAUCGAUGAAGAACGCAGCAAAAUGCGAUAAGUAAUGUGAAUUGCAGAAUUCAGUGAAUCAUCGAAUCUUUGAACGCACAUUGCGCCCGCUGGUAUUCCGGCGGGCAUGCCUGUUCGAGCGUCAUUUCAACCCUCAAGCCCCCGGGUUUGGUGUUGGGGAUCGGCUCUGCCUUCUGGCGGCGCCGCCCCCGAAAUACAUUGGCGGUCUCGCUGCAGCCUCCAUUGCGUAGUAGCUAACACCUCGCAACUGGAACGCGGCGCGGCCAUGCCGUAAAACCCCAACUUCUGAAUGUUGACCUCGGAUCAGGUAGGAAUACCCGCUGAACUUAAGCAUAUCAAUAAGCGGAGGAA
rnacentral:rRNA from 2 species